rnacentral:rRNA from 1 species
CAGUCGCCGCGGUAAUGCGUAGGGGGCAAGCGUUGUCCGGAAUCAUUGGGCGUAAAGAGCGUGUAGGCUGCUCGGUAAGUCCGCUGUGAAAGUCCAGGGCUCAACCCUGGAAUGCCGGUGGAAACUGUCGAGCUAGAGUCCGGAAGAGGCGAGUGGAACUCCUGGUGUAGCGGUGAAAUGCGCAGAUAUCAGGAAGAACACCAAUGGCGAAGGCAGCUCGCUGGGACGGUACUGACGCUGAGACGCGAAAGCGUGGGGAGCAAACAGGAUUAGAUACCCGUGUAGUCCCUGUCUCUUAUAC